UGGUGGAGCGAUUUGUCUGGUUAAUUCCGAUAACGAACGAGACUCUGGCCUAUUAAGUAGUUCGCCGAUUCCGAUCUGUCGGCGUUAACUUCUUAGAGGGACAAGUGGCUUUUAGCCACGCGAGAUUGAGCAAUAACA
rnacentral:rRNA from 1 species